AAGUCCCGUAACGAGCGCAACCCUUAUUGCCAGUUGCUAACGCGUAGUGGCGAGCACUCUGGCGAAACUGCCCCGGAUAACGGGGAGGAAGGUGGGGAUGACGUCAAGUCCUCAUGGCCUUUAUGUCCAGGGCUACACACGUGCUACAAUGGGUGGUACAAACCGUCGCAAACUCGCGAGAGGGAGCUAAUCGGAAAAAGCCAUCCUCAGUUCGGAUUGGAGUCUGCAACUCGACUCCAUGAAGCUGGAAUCGCUAGUAAUCGCGGAUCAGCACGCCGCGGUGAAUACGUUCCCGGGCCUUGUACACACCGCCCGU
rnacentral:rRNA from 1 species